UUAGCCCUAAACUCAGAUAUUUAACAUACAAAAAUAUCCGCCAGAGAACUACGAGCAAAACGCUUAAAACUCAAAGGACUUGGCGGUACCUCAAACCCCCCUAGAGGAGCCUGUUCUAUAAUCGACAACCCACGAUAGACCUCACCAUCUCUUGCCAAUCCCGCCUAUAUACCACCGUCACCAGCCCGCCCCGUGAGGGAUCUGAUAGCAGGCAGAAUAACCAAAAACAGUUAACAAGUCAGGUCAAGGUGUAGCUAACUGAGAUGGAAGAAAUGGGCUACAUUUUCUACACUAGAAAUCAAUUUACGGAAGGAACUAUGAAAUUAAUCCCAUAAGCAGGAUUUAGCAGUAAACCUGGAUCAGAAUGCCUAGUUU
rnacentral:rRNA from 1 species